rnacentral:lncRNA from 1 species
GCCUCGCGUGCUAGCGGUGCCCUUGUGAGCCACUGCGUUCUCCAAGGCCAGAACGGGACAGUUGACGAUGGUCGUACUUCUCCAUGUUCUGAGACCAGUUUAAACAAAAACAAAAACCAGACAACAACCUUGCAAGGGAAAGAAUUCAGAGUAAAUAAACAGUCUUUUUCUGGGAAGUAAAAUAUUUCCCUAAGAUGGAGAAAUUGAGAUGAGAGCUCAUCCACAAGAUUACCCAUCAAUGAGCACCAAUAGCAACCAAAUCCACUAGAAGACUGGGAGCUUUUAAGUCAAGAAACUUACAUCAGUAUCAUCAUUCCAAGAAGCGGUAUCCAAGCUGUUUUAUCGAAAGUGCGCAUGGGAGGAUGUGAGAAUGUCUUCGCUGCAUUAUUAUUUUUCAGCAUUGCCUCUGCUGACUUCAUGGGAGGAAUGGUGUUUCUUCUUCUCUCCCAUGUCAUGGAAGACACUCCUGAUGGCAUGUCUGUAGGUCUGUAGGAAAGAAUAAUCACCUCAGUAGCUUAGUGUGUGUAUGUGUGUGUGUGUGUCUGACACACUGUAGGUACAUAAUAAAGAUUUGAAAAUAUGAGUUUUUUUUAAUCCAAGCAGUGCCAUGUGUUUACUUGGAUUAGUAAUUGUACCAAUCUACAUUUUAAAGGUAAAACUAGCCAUUCAUUCUUUUGUUUCAGCAGUUGCCUAAUUUUAUUGUUUAAGUAUAAUGUGAGUGAAGGAAACUUCCUAGUUAGAAAUCUAUGAAUAUUAACUUCUUGUCUUCACUAACCAGAGUUGUUCUCAACUCAUAACACGUGGUUUGGUAAACCAUUUGCAAUGUAAACAUAGCAGAUUUUACUUGUAGUUUCAUAAUUUAGGCAGGUUGGCUCUGUAUUAUUUCUAGAAUCACAGGUAUCUGGAUGAAGAAUCACCAUUUUGUCAUUAGAGAUUACAACAAAUGUAGUUUAUUCUUUUUACCGGUAAUAUCAAUGUAAGCAAAAAUUAUACUUUUUAGCUAAGCAUGUUAUCUUCCCAGACUGGAGGAGUUAUUAUCUUCCAUAUUUUCUCUAUCUUCCACUAUACAAAGGGAAAAUAGAUUGGAAUUGUACUGGCCAUUGCUUUGUAAAGAGAAUAUAAAUAGCAAUAAAACAUAAAGAAAA